rnacentral:lncRNA from 1 species
CACUGAAUCCCUCUCAAAACUGGACGUCCCCUUCUGCUGCUUCUGUCUCCGUCCGGAGCAAGUUCCCUGCUUUUUAAGGGCUCAGAUGAUUAGAUUGGGCCCACCUGGAUAAUCUCCCCGUCUUAAGGCUGUCUUCUCCAGAUUCCCGAGACUCUGAGGUCAUAUUCAGGAUGUCAGGAGCUUCCCACUGCAGCACCUAACCUCGACAGGAUCACCACAGAUGGCACCUUUUCCUCCAAACUCAUCCCUUUGAAACUGACAUGCUCCUUGUCUCCCUCACUCUCAGUGAGCUGCCCUCCUGGAAAGCAGACCAAUACAAUAGUAAUGAAACUAUCUUCCACAUUGUCAAGUGGGCUUUGCUGUACGAAAAUCAACGUCUUGUCCAUUAUCUCCAGUGAUCCCAACCUCAGUCCUGUAGAAAUAUGUGAGGA